rnacentral:ncRNA from 1 species
GUGUAAGUAUGAAAAAAUUUAGAUUGUGAAACUGCGAAUGACACAUUAAAUCAGUUAUAGUUUGUUUGAUGGUAUGUACUACCCUGAUAACCGUAGUAAUUCUAGAGCUAAAACAUGCAACAAACCUUGACUUCUGGAAGAGAUGCAUUUAUUAGAUAAAAGUUCGAAGCAGACUCUACUUGUUGCUGCGAUGAUUCAUGAUAACACGAUGGAUCUCACGACCAUCGUGCCGACAACACAUCAUUCAAAUUUCUGCCCUAUCAACUUUCGAUGGUAGGAUAGUGACCUACUAUCACAUGGGUGAUUUAUGUCACUCGAAUUCUGUCUGAG